AACGAACGCUGGCGGCAUGCCUAACACAUGCAAGUCGAACGGUGCCUUCGGGCACAGUGGCGCACGGGUGAGUAACACGUGGGAACCUGCCUUUCGGUUCGGAAUAACGUUUGGAAACGAACGCUAACACCGGAUACGUCCUUCGGGAGAAAGUUUACGCCGAGAGAGGGGCCCGCGUCCGAUUAGGUAGUUGGUGGGGUAAUGGCCCACCAAGGCGACGAUCCGUAACUGGUCUGAGAGGAUGAUCAGUCACACUGGAACUGAGACACGGUCCAGACUCCUACGGGAGGCAGCAGUGGGGAAUAUUGGACAAUGGGCGAAAGCCUGAUCCAGCCAUGCCGCGUGUGUGAAGAAGGUCUUCGGAUUGUAAAGCACUUUAAGUCGGGAGGAAGGGCUGUAGGCUAAUACCUUGCAGUUUUGACGUUACCGACAGAAUAAGCACCGGCUAACUUCGUGCCAGCCGCCGCCGUAA
rnacentral:rRNA from 1 species